rnacentral:rRNA from 1 species
GAUGAACGCUGGCGGCGUGCCUAAUACAUGCAAGUCGAGCGAACGGACGAGAAGCUUGCUUCUCUGAUGUUAGCGGCGGACGGGUGAGUAACACGUGGAUAACCUACCUAUAAGACUGGGAUAACUUCGGGAAACCGGAGCUAAUACCGGAUAAUAUUUUGAACCGCAUGGUUCAAAAGUGAAAGACGGUCUUGCUGUCACUUAUAGAUGGAUCCGCGCUGCAUUAGCUAGUUGGUAAGGUAACGGCUUACCAAGGCAACGAUGCAUAGCCGACCUGAGAGGGUGAUCGGCCACACUGGAACUGAGACCCGGUCCAGACCCCUACGGGAGGCAGCAGUAGGGAAUCUUCCGCAAUGGGCGAAAGCCUGACGGAGCAACGCCGCGUGAGUGAUGAAGGUCGUCGGAUCGUAAAACUCUGUUAUUAGGGAAGAACAUAUGUGUAAGUAACUGUGCACAUCUUGACGGUACCUAAUCAGAAAGCCACGGCUAACUACG